rnacentral:misc_RNA from 1 species
GAUUAAGAACGUAGCAAAAUGCGAUAAGUAAUGUGAAUUGCAAAUUCAGUGAAUCAUCGAGUCUUUGAACGCACAUUGCGCCCCCUGGUAUUCCGGGGGGCAUGCCUGUCCGAGCGUCAUUGCUGCCCUCAAGCACGGCUUGUGUGUUGGGCCCCGUCCUCCGAUCCCGGGGGACGGGCCCGAAAGGCAGCGGCGGCACCGCGUCCGGUCCUCGAGCGUAUGGGGCUUUGUCACCCGCUCUGUAGGCCCGGCCGGCGCUUGCCGAUCAACCCAAAUUUUUUAUCCAGGUUGACCUCGGAUCAGGUAGGGAUACCCGCUGAACUUAAGCAUAUCAAUAAGCGGAGGA